rnacentral:rRNA from 1 species
CAGCAGCCGCGGUAAUACAUAAGGAGCAAGCGUUAUCCGCAAUUAUUGGGCAUAAAGAGCUCGUAGGCCGUCUUAAAAGUCAGGUGUGAAAUUAUCAGGCUUAACCUGAUAAGGUCAUCUGAAACUUUAAGACUUGAGGAUAGAAGAGGAAAGUGGAAUUCUCGGUGUAGCGGUGAAAUGCGUAGAUAUCGGGAGGAACACCAGUGGCGAAGGCGGCUUUCUGGUCUAUUUCUGACGCUGAGGAGCGAAAGCUAGGGGAGCAAACAGGAUUAGAUACCCUGGUAGUCCUAGCUGUAAACGAUGGAUACUAGGUGUGGGAGGUAUCGACCCCUUCUGUGCCCCAGCUAACGCAUUAAGUUUCCCGCCUGGGGAGUACGGUCGCCAGGCUGAAACUCAAAGGAAUUGACGGGGGCCCGCACAAGCGGUGGAGCAUGUGGUUUAAUUCGACGCACCGCGAAGAACCUUACCGGGGCUUGACAUUGUCUUGCCGUCUAAGAAAUUAGAUUUUCCUCCUUUUUGGAAGACGAGAUACCAGGUGGUGCAUGGUUGUCGUCAGCUCGUGUCGUGAGAUGUUGGGUUAAGUCCCACAACGAGCGCAACCCUUAUGCCUAGUUGCUACUGUUUUACAGUGCACUCUAGCGAGACUGCCGCA